rnacentral:rRNA from 1 species
AGUGAACGCUGGCGGUAGGCCUAACACAUGCAAGUCGAACGGCAGCACAGUAAGAGCUUGCUCUUACGGGUGGCGAGUGGCGGACGGGUGAGGAAUACAUCGGAAUCUACUUUUCGGUGGGGGAUAAGGAGGGAAACCUUCCCCUAUUACGCAAUACACCUUCGGGUUGAAAGCAGGGAUUUUUCGAACCUUCGCCGUUUAAAUGACCGAAGUCGGAUUAGCUAGUUGGCGGGGUAAAGGCCCACCAAGGCGACGAUCCGUAGCUGGUCUGAGAGGAUGAUCAGCCACACUGGAACUGAGACACGGUCCAGACUCCUACGGGAGGCAGCAGUGGGGAAUAUUGGACAAUGGGCGCAAGCCUGAUCCAGCCAUACCGCGUGGGUGAAGAAGGCCUUCGGGUUGUAAAGCCCUUUUGUUGGGAAAGAAAAGCAGCAGGUUAAUACCCCGCUGUUCUGACGGUACCCAAAGAAUAAGCACCGGCUAACUUCGUG